rnacentral:rRNA from 1 species
AGACGGAGGGUGCAAGCGUUAAUCGGAAUUACUGGGCGUAAAGCGCUCGUAGGCGGCUUGUUAAGUCGGAUGUGAAAGCCCCGGGCUCAACCUGGGAACUGCAUUCGAUACUGGCAGGCUAGAGUAUAGUAGAGGCAAGUGGAAUUCCGGGUGUAGCGGUGAAAUGCGUAGAUAUCCGGAGGAACAUCAGUGGCGAAGGCGACUUGCUGGACUAAUACUGACGCUAAGGAGCGAAAGCGUGGGGAGCAAACGGGAUUAGAAACCCCAGUAGUCC